GGAGAGGUGGCAGAGCCUGGCUGAAUGCGCGCGAUUCGAAAUCGUGUUUACCGCAAGGUAACGGGGGUUCGAAUCCCUCCCUCUCCGCAA
rnacentral:tRNA from 2 species